rnacentral:rRNA from 1 species
GACGAACCGUGCGAACGUUAUUCGGAAUCACUGGGCUUAAAGCGCGUGUAGGCGGGAGGGCACGUCCGUCGCUGAAAUCCCCCGGCUCAACCGGGGAACGGGCGCGGAUACGACCUUCCUGGAGGGGCGUAGGGGGACCUGGAACUUCCGGUGGAGCGGUGAAAUGCGUUGAGAUCGGAAGGAACGCCCGUGGCGAAAGCGAGGUCCUGGACGCCUACUGACGCUGAGGCACGAAAGCUAGGGGAGCAAACAGG